AUUUUUCUUUUCUGCUGUUACCACUGUACAUCCUCAAUACAUAUUUUGUCUUAUCACGCAAAUCCUGUCAUUUCAUCUGUUGGAUUAUAUUCUGUCUUGCCUUCUUUUGUAUCACCUGUUUUGUCUCAUCUCACAAAAAAAGGCAUACAAGAAGCAGAUCAGCAUUUACAGGAAGUGUUGAGGGCAGCGAGUCUGUAUGAGCUGAUAUCAGUAUCAGCAGCAGAGUCAAGUCUAGUAUAUGGGUUGUAAUAAAAUCUUCAUUAAAUGAGGAGCAUUAAUUAAUUCCCACUGGGGGCAGUGACACGCAUCACUGGCCAUUGUCUCCUACCCCCCUGUAAAAAACACUUCACGAGGGGGUGGAGGAAACCACUGCCACACACACUUUAACAGUGGCAUGACGCAGUACCUUUUCCACCAGAUAUUGUAGAUAGGAGAGAACCUCUACCACUGCACAUGUCAGGGGGUCCAGUCUCCUUUCCUCACACCAGCAUUGGAAUCCCAACCACUUUGCUUUGUAGCAAGCAAUGGUGGAUUCUGCUCUCGCUGCUUGGAUGGUCUGCACCUCCUGUGCAGACAGUCCAGCCCGCAUCAGCCUGUCCCUCUCAGGAGCCAAGCCUGAAGAGGUUGGCCAAACAUGGGCGGUGCGCCUAUCAUGCCUGCCUCUUGGGACAGAGUGCCCCACACUUGGGAAUGGACCAGGACUGGGCUGCCAACAUCUGGGUCAUCUCCGCAUACCACAGCGCCGAGCGGUGGUCCGGUGCUAUCAGGAUGACCAACAGUGUCACUCGUUUCACUCUCUUCAGCAAAGGGGGAAUGAGAUGAAGAGGAGGAAAGGCGUAAAGCAGCUUCCUUGGCCACGGUGUUCCACCCCCAAGGGAGCCCAACAUGCUCCACCACCAUGGCCAUAACCUUCAGGAAAUCAUGGCGAACUGAAGUCAGAUGAGAGGUUGUCAUCAUUGUCCUUCAGAGAAGCAGCUCAGAGAAUCUCAGCUGAGGCUUCCAGUGGCAGUGGGUACGUGUGUGUUCUGUAUGUUCACAAAGUCUUUCACGCUGCAGGCCGCUGCGGCCCCCACCUCGGCAGCCUAAACGCACAACCUGUCUUCUUCUGAGGCUGGUGUUACCUUAGGCUGGUGCUGCGUGCACAUUGAAAUCAUGACGGGAAAAAGAAAGUCUCUCAAUGAAAAACGUAGUCUUCUUGAAGCUUACGACAAACUGCCAAAAACAAGCUGAUGAGAUGCAGCAGCGAAACGACAAGUGUUUGAAAUAGCUGUACUGUAUUUUGAAACAAUCGAUAAAAUUUAGUAAAUAGCAUAGCUGCACGUUGCAUUACUUUAUAUUCAUGUAAUAAAUAUUAUAAUAAUCACCAGACAUGAUCACUAUAAGCGGUUUCCAUUGUAUAUGGAGAAAAAAAAUCCUAAUAUUAAACUUUAUAUAUGGAAUAAUAAAGCACACAUUUCUAUGUCAUGCAUAGAUUAUUGGUUAGUUUCUCAUUGUUUAGAUAGGAAUAACAUUAUCGCUAAUAUAAUAACAACUCCACUAGACAAUAGAGCUGUGUCACUCCAAGUCUCUUUUAGGUCUGACAGUAUUUAUAUAUUUAGAGGCUCUUAUUGGAAACUUAAUAACACUAUUUUAAAACAUGAUUAAGUGAUUAAGAAUGUCCAAACAUUGAUAAAAUGUUUCUGGAACUUCCAAUUGAGUCCUAAUAAGUGUUUUGCUUGCAGUAUGCAAAAAUCAACAAAUUAGAAUUCUGCUUUUGUCCAAGGAAGAUCAGGAGGAUACAGCCCUAAAAUAAUAGCCUUAGGUUCCAUGGGCACCUUUACAGACAAAAUUUUAUCAAUCAUACAAAUCAUCUCACCUCAAAAAGUUCUUAUCUUGUUGCAUUCCCAUUUGCAGUGGAUAAGCGUUCCUUGUAGAAGGGUACAUUUAAACAAAGGUCUGGAAUAUUAUCACUGAGUUUGUGUAUUUUGACUGGUGUCAAGUAAGUGCACAUUAACCAGUUGUACUGAAGAAGUUUCAGGCUAAUGUUGGCUGUUUAUGCUUGGGCUUCUGUACGGGCCUCACCCCAUUCCUCAGUUGAUAUUUCUACAUUUAGAUCCCCCUUCCAAGCCUCAAGUUUUGAUUCUGAGGUUAUAGUGGAGCCCAGUGCAAGCCAAUUAUACAUCAAUGGAAUGAAACCCCUGCCAUUACAGUUCCUAGUCAUUAACUUCUCCAGAGGUGAAAGUUCUGGUUUCAGUAAUGAGUGCUGCUUUGAGGAAAUUAAACUUCUUAUCUGUAAAUACUUUAAAAAGUGUUUCCUUAGGAUGCUGUGUUUAGCUGAUAGUUCCUCAAACAUCAUUAGGACACCCCCUGUGUAAAGAUCCUGAAUUUUCCCUAGUCCAUUUUUAGCCCACAGUUGGAAGCCUGCAUCAUCAUCAUUACCUGGUGCAAUCAAAACAUCUCCCAAGAUUGGGUCAAAACCAGAUAGAGAGCCUGAUAUACACAUAUUUUUUCACUUCAAACCACACCUUGGUCAUGAUACUUAACAUAGGGUUGAGGGUGUGUUUCCUUCAAUAUUUCAGCCCAGGUGAGUGCAGAUACAAGUGUAAAGGGAUGUUGAUAGAGCUUGAUUCCAUAUCCAUCUGCACUGGGGGAUGCAUUGAAAAGUAAAACAUUAUUGUUCUCAGCUGUGCUGCCAAGUAAUACCAAUGGAGGUUUUAGGCAUUUAAGUCCCCUCUAUCAAAUGGGAGAUAUAUAAGUGAGAGGUGAAUUCUAGGGUGCUUUGCAUUCCAUAUGAACUUAGUGAAAAGUUUUCUCAUCCUUGAAAAUAUGUGGGUAGGUUGCACCAGGGGAAUGUUCUGAAACAGGUAAAUACAUUUUGGUAAUAUGUUCAUUUUUAGUAUAAGGACAUUCAAUGGUCUAUAGACUGUGAUACAGACUCCAUGACAGGUUCAUAAUUAAUGGAUACAAUUUUCUCUAAUCGUCAGGCAAUGUUAAUGCCAAGAUAAGUGAAUUCUCUGAAAGUUUAAAUUUAAGGACAUGUACACUUGGAUUCUGUUCCUCUUUCAUAAUUGAGGAUUUUGAAGUGUUUGUUUUACAACCAGAAAUCUUCCCAAAGAAGCUAAUGAGUUCUAAUAGAGCAGGGAUAGAGGAGUCUAAUCUUUUUAAAAACCGGAUGACAUCAUCUGCAAAAGUGAGAUUCAGUUGUCAACAGUGAGAUUCUGUUGUCAUGGUUGUUAUGGUUCCCAUCUGUAUUCCAUGAAUAUAUCAAUGCAUUCUGACUGAUAUCGCAAGGGGUUCUAUCACCAGGAUAAAUAGAAGUGGUGAUAAAGGGGGGCCUUGAGGUCAACCCCUGCUUAUUUUAAAAGCCUUAGAUACCACAUCAUUAUGUAUGUUCAUGUAAUAGCUUAGUCCAAUUACAAAACUUCUCUCCAAACCAAAAAUGGGUGAUGACAUAUAUGGCCAUCGACUCUGUUGAAGGCCUUCUCCGAAGUUGAAAGGAGUGUCUGGUGCCUCUUGUUGGCUGUAUAAGAUAUUAAGUACCCUUCUGACAUUGUGGAAGCCUUGUUUUCCCUGUAAAAAAACAUUCUGGUCCUUCCCCACAACAGAAGGGAGUAUACCCUCCAAUCUUCUUGCUAUGACUUUGCACAGGAUCUUUGUAUUAGAAUUCAGUAAGUUAAUAGGGUGCCAAUUCCCACAUUUAGAUUUAGGUUUCCCUGGCUUUGGAAGCAAAAUUAUUAAGGCUUCUCUCAUUGAGGAUAGAAGGACCCCACUGCCGUAGGAUUCUUUAAACAUUUCAUACAGAGGAGUGACUAGUUAAUCUUUAAACACUUCGUAUAUGUCGUAGACCAUCUGGUCCAGCCGUUCUACCGGCGUUCAUGCCACUGACAGCCUCUGAAAUUUCUGAUACGGUUAUAUCUCCUUCUAAGGAGUCCCUUGUUCCCUCUGGAAUUUGAGGAAUAUCGAGUUUUCCUAAAAAGUCAGAUUGUAUGUCUAAAUUUUUAGUGUCUUCUGAGCAAUAAGGAUUUUUAUAGUACUGUCUAAAUUUUCCAUUAAUUUCCAUUGGGUCCACUAUGUUUUUUCCUUCAUUAUCCUCAAUGUGAGUUAUCACUCUCUUUUUGUUGCUGUUUAAUUCGCCAAGCAAGAAGUUUGCCAGGUUUCUCUCCUUGGUCAUAGUACAGUUGUUUGAGCCUCAGCAUGUUGGCAACGGCCUUAUUAGCAGAUAGCCUAUUAUACUCAGAAUGAAGUGACAGAAGUUCUCUAUUUGCGUCUGUCGUAUUCAGUCCUGGCUGAAAUAUUUGUCUCUGCAAUGUUUUAAUCUUUGAAUCUAACAAAAUCAUUCUUUCCUUGGUUUGUUUAGACUUUUUGCUUGUAAGACUGAGGAUCUGUCCUGUAAUAUAUGCUUUGAAUGUUUCCCAUCUAAUACAUACAGAAGUUUGAGUGGUGUUUAUUUCAUAAUAUAGGUCAAUUUGUUGGCCUAGAUAUUCUACAGACUUUGAAUGCUUGAGCCAGUAAGUUGGAAUCUCCAUUUAGGAGGAACUUGUACCAGCUUUCCUUCUAUGUAAACCAGGGACACAGCCCCAUAGUCUGAGAGAACUAUACCAUUAUAAUGACAUCCUCCAAUUUUUGAAAGAAGUUCAGCGGAGAUUAAAAAAUAACCAAUUCUCGAACAGGUUUGGUGUGUGCUGGAAAAACAAGAGUAAUCUCUGGCAUUUGGGUUUAGAUGCCACCAAAUGUCUAUUAGGUUCAUUUCUUGGAUGCAGCACUGUAUUGUUUUCCUAGUUUGCACAUGAGUAACAUCCAGACCAGAAGAUCUGUCUUUUACAGGGUCAAGGGUUCAGUUGAAGUCACCAGCCAUAAUGUAUUUGCCAGACUUAUCGCCUCAUGCAGAAGAAAAUCAGGAAUAAUCAUGAAUCAUGAAUAAUGUCCCAGCUGGGUCCUCAACCACAUCCUGUAUCUGCAUUGGAACAGAUUUAUGAAUCAAAACAAUUACCCCUUUAGCAUUUGAUGUAUGACAUGCUGAAAACACCUGCCCAAACAACCUCCUCCUUCCCUUUGAUGCAUCCCCAGGUAGCAAAUGAAUCUCCUGUAAAAAAGCAACUUAGGCUCCCAAAAUCUUUAUCCUGCUCAUGACCUGUUUUACCUUUGCUAAUUUGUUUAAAAUGCUGCAAUUCCAAGAAGUGCAAUUCACCUUAACUGUUGACGUUUAUGGGAUUUUCAUUUGCUGCUGUGAAAUAACCCUUUAAAACAAACAAGUGUAUUUUUUUGGCAGAGGCACAUAUACACCAGUAAUUACAUAAAUAUUCAAACUGUGAAGAGGAAAUAACUUGGAACUUACACACCCCUCCCUGAACCUGUCCAGCGUGAAUGUGCUUGGACUACCCCUAACCUGUACAGUACCCAUAACUCCCUUCAGCAAUCAGCGGGUCCACACCGUAGCGAGGAUCCAUCUGCAGGUCCCUUUCAGUUUCCUUAACUGCUGCUAACAUUGCUCCUAUAUAGAUGCCAAUCCUAUAUAGAUGCCAACUUCAGCUGACAAGUCUUGGUGAAAUCUGAUAGCACUGUCCUUGUACGUUACCUGCCUUUCAAUCUUCGCUGCCCUCAGGAUCCUUUCUUUAUCUCUGUAGUCGGGAACCUCACGAUAAAGGUCUGCAGCGAGUUAGAGUUGUGUUUUUGGCCUCACAACUCCAGAUUAGUUUGGUACAACUUGUUGAAGGAUUUUGGUGGUGGUUAAAUACAAAUGAUCAGAUAAUUACUAAUGGAGCAAGAGAGUGCGUCUGUUCACCCACACCACCAUCUGGAAGUCGUGAACCAUGGUUUGUUAUUGUUGUAUGUGCAGUGGGUCUUGGUUGGCACACACGUCUUCACAAAAGCUGACUUAAGAUGUCACAAUAUCAGUCAGUUUGUCUAGGUUGCCAGAUGAAUCUUCAAAACACUCGCACUCACACAAUGGACAGGCUUUGCAGAUUUUAGUGUCUGCCUGAAGGUUCGAAUAAGAUGAACCAAGCAGUAAUCAGAGUGCCCCAAAACUGCCUGGGGAAGAGAGCGAUAUGCAUCUUUAAGAAUUGUAUAGCAGUGGUCCAGUGUUAUUAUUCCCUGUGGGACAAUUAAUGUGCUGUCUAUACUUUGGUAGUUCGUGGUUUAAUUUUGCUCUGUUAAUGUCCCCAAGGACUAUGAAAAGAGAGUCUGUCUAUAUGUUUUUGUUCCUAGCUGGUUAUCUGGUCAGCCAGGGUUUGCAGCGCGUUGGCCUGGAGUGGCAUGUAAACAUCGACCAAGAUGAAGGAGGAAAACUCCUGUGCUGAAUAAAAUGGCUUGCAGUUUAUGAACAAUGUCUCCAAGUUUGGGCUGCAGUAUUUACUUAGCACUGUGAUAUCUGUACACAAACCUUUGUUGAUGUAGAAGCAAAUUCCACUGCCUUUUGUUUUCCCUGAUGGCUCCGUUACAAGAUCUGCUCAGUGUAGAUGGAAGCCCAGCAGAUGUAACCCAUUGUCGGGGAUGGAUUCACUGAGCCAGGUCAACAAAGGGCAGCAGAACGUACAAAGUCCCUGUUUGCCCCGUUGAUGUGAAGCAGCUUUUUGAACAUGAAAUGUCUUAGUUGUAUAUAUGUAUAUAUAUAUAUAUAUAUAUAUAUUUUUUUUUUUUUUCUUUUAAGAUGUUCAAAAUAAUAUUGAAAUCGCAUUUGAAUUGAUAAAUACAGCACACGUGUUUGGGGCAGAAUGUGUCACAUCUGCACCUGAAGAACAGGUGCAAUGUCCUUAGUAUUUCUGGCCCUCAGUUUGUUGAACAGUGUGAUACCAUUGAAAGCUCUGGUGCAACAGUUAAAUGGACACUGAUUUUAAUUCGGUAGGUCAGACUUUUCAAAAAUUGGAAAUCAGAAUUGGCCAAGAAAAUUGCAAUCGGUGCAUCAUUAAUAUUAACAUGAAAUCACAGCUGUGUCAUUUUUGUUUAACCUUUUUUAUUUGUAUGUCAGUUUUUUGACUGUGCCAGAGUGGAGCAAUGAUUGAUGAUGAUGAUGAUUCGGACUCGGACUCACACUCAGGUAAUGGGGACUUGACUUUGACUCGACUUGGACUCUUCUUUGGUGACUCGGACUUGGACUCGGACUCGAACACUGGGGACUCAAGACUCGACUUGGACUUGAGACUUAGUGACUUGACUACAACACUGGUGGAGGCAUAUUAGUCCUGGAAUGUGUGCUCCAAACCUCAUAGAAGAUAUAAAAUUUUAGCACCAUUUCACUGAAUAAAAUAGUGGUCAAACUAGUUGUCUAAUGCACACCUGGUGGACAGGUGCAUAGGAAAACGUAAUCAACAAAAUGAAAUUGAGUGCAUACCUCUUUUGUCUGUUAUAGUAUAUCAGUUUGGCUGCUGCAAUAUGUUGCCAAAGUGUCCAAUUAAGUGUUCAAGUACCAACCUGAAUAUGUCCAUGUUUUUAACUUAAUGAGUCUUAACCUAUCAUUUAAAAUCUUGAAUUAAGAAUUCAUGACAAAACUUAUAUACAGCAUAAAUCUUUAUUAUUUUUACUACAUUCAUAAUACAUUGUUAUCUAGCAUACAUUGGCUAAAACAAACAGACAAUCAUUCACACCUGCAGGCAAUUAAGAGCAGAAGUGUAGGCAGAAAUCACAGUGUGGGUGGGCACAGAGAAAAUCAGGUGCGUCCAAGACCAAUAGGUUCACAAAUAUAUAUGAUAACCAAAAUAGGUCAUUACAACUAUACUUGCCUGAAUGCAUGACAGUUUAAUCAUACAAGUCGUAUACAUUAUCAGUGGUGUUACAGGCACCGAGUUGAACAUUAACAGCAUCACAUAGCCUGGCAUGACGGCCACAUAUUCACAAACACACAACUGACAGAUGCAACAGCAUCAUUAAUCAAGCAUAUGGAUAGAGGUACACUGGCACCAACAUGCUCAGUAAUGUUAAAAAGGACACUUGAACAUAGCCUGGUGCGGCAGUCACAUAAACCACCAUAAGUCCUGUUGUGUGAACAAAAUAAAGUGUUGUUUUUGGAAAUUAAA